UACGUAGGGUGCGAGCGUUGUCCGGAAUUAUUGGGCGUAAAGAGCUCGUAGGCGGUCUGUCACGUCGGAUGUGAAAACUCGGGGCUCAACCCCGAGCCUGCAUUCGAUACGGGCAGACUAGAGUUCGGUAGGGGAGACUGGAAUUCCUGGUGUAGCGGUGAAAUGCGCAGAUAUCAGGAGGAACACCGGUGGCGAAGGCGCCACUCUGGGCCGGUACUGACACUGAGGAGCGAAAGCGUGGGUAGCAAACAGG
rnacentral:rRNA from 1 species